rnacentral:rRNA from 1 species
UACGAAGGGGGGCUAGCGUUGUUCGGAAUCACUGGGCGUAAAGGGCGCGUAGGCGGCUUUAUAAGUCGGGGGUGAAAGCCUGUGGCUCAACCACAGAAUUGCCUUCGAUACUGUAGAGCUUGAGACCGGAAGAGGUAAGUGGAACUGCGAGUGUAGAGGUGAAAUUCGUAGAUAUGGGGGAGGAACACCGGUGGCGAAGGCGGCCAUCUGGACGGCUAUUGACGCUGAGACGCGAAAGCGUGGGGAGCAAACAGG